rnacentral:rRNA from 1 species
UACGUAGGGUGCAAGCGUUAAUCGGAAUUACUGGGUGUAAAGCGUGCGCAGGCGGUGAUGUAAGACAGUUGUGAAAUCCCCGGGCUCAACCUGGGAACUGCAUCUGUGACUGCAUCGCUGGAGUGCGGCAGAGGGGGAUGGAAUUCCGCGUGUAGCAGUGAAAUGCGUAGAUAUGCGGAGGAACACCGAUGGCGAAGGCAAUCCCCUGGGCCUGCACUGACGCUCAUGCACGAAAGCGUGGGGAGCAAACAGG